CUAUGAUAUAAUCAAAAUUUUUCCAGUACCAGAUAUCAUUUUUGUUUUUAAACACUGAGGUAUUUCCAAAGUAACCUCUGUCAAAUCCUACAAUUGUACAUAUAGGUGCACUUGGUGAUAAAAGUAGUUGUAACUUGUUAUAUACCUUCAGAUUGUCAUUUUUUAAAAUUUGGUCUGCCUCAUUAGAAAUGUUGGAAAUCACACCCUGUCUGUCUCCAGUAUUUGAAGAAGCUACAAUUUCUCUCACUUGCCUUAUCAGAGGACUAUAUGGUUAAUCUCUGUUGUUUUCUAUAUUAUGAUUAUUUUGAAUAAAUCCAUUUGAUUUACCAUGAUCACUUGAUUGUAAAUCAUAAAAAAAUAUUUCCUGCAGUUUCUUUUUAUAUGGCCUUGCUUAUUGCAAUAGAAACAGACAAGACCAUAUGUCGAGUUUUUUUCAUAGUGUGAGUGGGGGUUGUUAAAAGUUUGGACAUCUCUUCUCUUUGUCUGUGAUCUAACAGCUGCAGGAGACGAAUGAGGAGGGCUUUUCCUGUGCCUGGGCUGUUAGUCCCUCCUGUCUCUCUUUAUUUCACAGACAGAUUUUUAACUGUUUUGUUGUCUUGAUUCUAUCUUAACCCUAUCUAGAAAUGAUGCUGCAUCCUCAAUAGUUUGACACUGCAGUGCACAUGCAAUAGAUAUAGGAUCUAGAAAUUAAAAAAUUUGUAUGAAUGCAUUUAUCAUAGAUUUUGGUGUCUGAUCAUCAGGAAUGCCCAUUAGCAACCUAUAUGUUCGUUCAAAUUUCAAAAUGAAACUGAAUACAUCGUCAUUUAUAUUUGGUUUUAAUUUUUCUAAACCCUCAAUAUCCACACUCUCAUUUCCUGUUGUUAAUCUUAUUAAUUGUAUCAAUCUACCUCGCUCAUUCCCGUGUACAAGUUCACCAUCUUCACCAGAGUGGGAACUGAUAGGUGGGGUCAAUCAACGUGCAAUGUACGUUGGCAGCCAUAUUUUAAACAAUCUGUUCCUUUGUUUGUCAUUCAAAUUAUGUUUUGAUACAUUAGACUCAAAUACGUCUGCAAUACCAAAGGCAUCUAUUGAUGGAUUAUAUGGAGAAAUAUUUUUGGAAACUUUCAUCAACUGCUCUUGAAUUACGUUUUGCAGCUUUAUCUAACAAUUUUCUACAUUGCAAAUCAGACUGUGAUAAUAUUUCUGUGACAUCGACUGGCUCAAAUUAUGAUAACUCCUUGUAAUCACACACAACUGUUUGGCUUCAGUUCUAAUUUUAGAAACCAGUUCAGACUUAAGAUCCAACUGUUUUGCCUGAAGUCUGUCACAGUUAGUACAUUUAAUUUCUGUUACUCACAAAGAUUUAUCUUUAAUGUCUGUCUGUGUACUUUUAAAAUCUUUCACCUCUACUUGUUUUGGUACUUGCAAUUUUGUCAGAGACACUCCUGUUCUAAG